ACCUUCUCAUUGAUCUCCUUUCUGUUGGUUGGUGGCAGUUUGUGGAUUCAAUACAAGAAGGAGAGACAAUUCAGAGAAGUAGCAUUAUAUCGUUUUCUGUAUUUGAAGAGGUAUAUUUGGCUAUUUUGUGAGACAUUC
ensembl:snoRNA SNORA75 Small nucleolar RNA SNORA75